rnacentral:rRNA from 1 species
AUGAUAAGGGCGGCGUCUCCGCGGCCUCCGUCCGCCGUGCGGCUACGCAGCCGCGGCGCCUCCUCCUCCUCCUCCGCGUGCCCCUUCAGGGCCAGGGGGUCCGGAAGUAGGGUCGCGGCGACAAGUGGGAGGAGGAGGAGGAACGUUAUCUCCUGCUGCUCGUCUGACGACCGGGAGGGGGCCCGCGGCGCGGCGCCUCCGGCUCCUUCCGACGGAUCGAUACAGCUCUACUCCCAGAUCGAGAAGGUGAUCACGGAGGCGGCAAAGCAGUCCAACCAGGGCUGGAGUUCCACCGGAGAUUGGAUCGAAAUCGAGGGGGCGUGGGUGUUGAGGCCCAAGUCCUCGGCGCCCUCGUUUGUCGUUCAUUUUAUUGGUGGGAUUUUCGUCGGGGCCGCGCCGCAGGUCACGUACCGCUACUUCCUUGAGCGUCUCGCAGACAAGGGAGCUUUGGUGAUCGCUACACCAUAUGCUAGUGGCUUUGAUCAUUUCUUCAUCGCAGACCAAGUUCAAUUUAAAUUUGACAGGUGCUUGAGAAACUUGGUAGAACCUGUGAAUGACCUUCCCACAUUUGGUGUUGGGCACUCGUUGGGAUCUGUCAUCCAUCUUCUGAUUGGAUCAAGAUAUGCUGUGCAGCGAAGUGGAAACAUACUGAUGUCAUUCAAUAACAAGGAGGCAAGCCUGGCGAUUCCAUUAUUUUCACCUGUAAUCGUUCCCAUGGCACAGAGUUUUGGCCCAAUAUUAUCCCAGCUGACAUCAUCUCCAACAAUCCGUUUUGGGGCUGAAGCGGCUAUUAAGCAAAUUGAGAAUCUAGGCCCUCCUGUUGUUAAGCAACUUCUUCCCUUGAUUCAACAACUUCCUCCACUGUAUAUGGACUUGGUAAAGGGCCGAGAAGACUUCAUCCCAAAACCAGAGGAGACACGCCGGCUGAUAAAAUCCUACUACGGAAUAUCUCGAAAUCUCCUAGUAAAGUUCGAAGAUGAUCAAAUUGAUGAGACCUCUAUCAUUGCACAAGUGCUAAGCUCAGAAUCUGCCAUUAGCUCACUGCUUGAUAUGUCGAUUCGCUCACUUCCUGGGGAUCAUGGCCUUCCAUUGCAACAGGUACUUCCUGACGUUCCACCAGGAAUGGCUGAUGCAGUAAGCCGUGGAGGUGAACUCCUGGCAAAUCUCACAACAGGCACACCAUGGGAGGCUGUUGCUAAGGAGGUAGGUACCACUUUUGGCACUGACUCUGGCGUUCGGCGAACACAGGCCCCUGAGGAUGUCAAUGCACUUGUGGAUGUAAUUGUUUCAUGGAUAGCUUCAAAUUCUGGCCCAAAACUACUUCGUUCAUGA